CUUCCGUCGUCGUUCUCGUUCUCAUCCCCUUCUCGCGCACAGGAGACGGCGACGGCUACUGGACGUGACUCGGCACCAUUGGUCGUCAACGGCGGCAACCCUGGUGGUACUCGACGGCGGCGGCUACAUCCCGGCCAGGAGACAACAAUUCAGAUGAGCUAGGUGUUGGAGAUGGCUGAAACGGAGACGGGUGACCACGUCGUUGCAGACAGCUUCGAUUUUCCUCCUUUGUUUGUUCCCGAGCAGAGGCCGCCUCCGCCGCCGCUCGUGUUCACAUUAACUAUUAGAGUAGCUCGUUAUGUCUACAAGCUUGAUGAUGGAAGCGAGCAAGUUGUUGACAAGCAUGAUGUUGUGUUUGAUUUCAACAUUUCUGGUAUGUCAUGGGUUAACUUCAGUGACCUAAUCUUCAAGGCAGUCCCAAUCCCGUGACUAGAAGGAUGUUGGCUAUGGCAUUGGCUGAUGAGUCAUCGCAGCAACCUACCCCAACUGUGAAGGACACCACGAUGGCAUAUGACAUGGCCUCAACCUCGAAUGCUAGGAAGUUGACCCCGAAGAGAAGGAAGAUCUAGUGUUGUGCAUCAUCUUCUAUGUUCUCUAUGCUUUUGGAUGUAAUAUGUCAGACUUGGCAGCCCCUACUAAUUUGUGCAACAUCACA